UGAAUCAUCACUGUAUUCUCGCAUCUCUGCUUUUCAGGCUCCGGGUUUUUGACAGUGGUGUCAUGGUAAUUGAGCUUCAGUCCCACAAAGAAGAAGAAAUGGUGGCCUCGGCCCUGGAGACGGUUUCAGAAAAGGGAUCCUUAACAUCAGAAGAAUUUGCUAAGCUUGUGGGAAUGUCUGUCCUAUUGGCCAAAGAAAGGCUGCUUCUUGCAGAGAAGAC